rnacentral:lncRNA from 1 species
CUCCAACUUAACUAAGGCAAUGAUAUUUUAUCAAUUAAGUGUUUGCAUAUGGUAAACACCAUUUUUCACAGUUGAAAAUUGUGCAAUCUAUAAUAUCUAUCAAAAAAAUGGCAAUGACACCCAAAUCAGCAAAAUUGAAUAUGAGAGUAAUAAGUGAAUCAUACCGAAAGCCCAGUAAGGCAUUGGAGCUGGUCUUCCAAUUAAGGAAGUGUAUUGAUCAACAACAUUCAAAGGCGAAGGGCCAGAAAAGAAGUAAAAAUCAAAUACACCUCCAAUAAUCUUGUAUGUCAGAGAGGUUCCCGUGUAAAGUACAUCCAUUCCGUUGCUAUUGAGCAGCAGAACAGCAUGUGCAGAAGCUUUACCACCUGCAUUUCUGAGAUCCAUGUAUAUAGGGUGCGAUCCAUACAGAUCAGCAUUGAGAUUAAUAGCUGGAAUAUCAGUUGUAUACAGAGUGAAAGGGUCUUGGGGAUACAAUUUGAUCCCGUGCGGCUGUGUAUGCUCCCCCAAACCAUACAAGGAAGCAUCUUCAGGCAAUUUGGUAGAAAUCUCAAGGUACUGGUCCUUGAAAACCAGGGAACUAAAAGGGUCUGAAUCACCAGAGCUAGAGUCAAAAAGGGUCUCACCAUUUGACUUCCUUUUUACCGCAAAGCUAAAAGGGUCAGAAGUGUAGCUGAACAGAAGCUCAGAACCAGAGUACUCUGAGACUGCAAUAGGGUUCUUCCUGAACCUUCCAAUGGUUUGAGACAGAGCUGGCGGUUGCUCUCUUGGUAAAAGGUUGUAGGGGACCUCCCACCUUUGCUUAUUAGCAUCAGUUAUGUGUACCCUCAAACGGUUCUCUGUCUCAUGCCUGCAAAAUUAAGUCCAAUGAAGAAGGAUAACCAUUGAAAAAAAAAAAAACUUCUUUAUAUUGAUACACAAAAAAGAAGAGAAGAAUACUAAUGGAAGAUUUUGAAAGGGGAAAUGUACUUGGCGUAGAAGCGUAGAAGGUGGAUAUCAGGGCCAUAGAUAUUGGUCUUCUGGUUAACUUGAAGAAGACCCACGAGGCCUCCAUCAGGGGUUCCUUCAAUGGAGAUAAGACGGUAGCCUUGGCCUAUUUUGGUGGCAUUUUCUGAAGAAAAAGAACUCACCCCAGCUGCACAUAGAAGCAGAGUUACAAGAAGAGAAGAGAGGCACAGCGCAGAUAAACGGUGAUGAAAAACCAUAGCUAAUGCACUGAGGACGAACACUGAGGGUAGCAAUGGCAUAUAUAAAUAAUUAACCGCAUAGAUGACAACACUACGUCGCUUACCAAAUUACUCUCUUGCCCAUGUAUGAAGUAAAUGCUUGUAUGAAUAAUCAACCUCAUAUUCUAUAUGAACAUAAAGACAAAAGUGCAAAUAUAGAUAAAAACAUGCACUAUUCUAUGAAUGUAGUGAAGUGCAGAUGAAAAAUUCAAAAGCAUAGCCAAUCUCCUAUCUCCUAUUUCAUAAGUGUAAACUUUCCUUUUGCCAAACCAGUAUAAAGUCAGAUUUUAUAAAUAUAGAAACCAGAUUAUUUUUUCAUAUAACAAACGAAAAUUGAUUCUAUAGGAUCCUAAUACAUUUAAUCAACCACAUCUUCUAUGCGAACAUAAAAGGUAAAGUGCAAAUAUAGAUAAAAAAUAAUGCACUAGUCUAUGAAUGUAGUGAACAGCAGAUAAAAAAUUAGAAAAGCAUAGCCAAUCUCCUAUCUCCUAUUUCACAAGCAUAAAUUUUCCUUUUGCCAAACUAGUAUAAGAAGCAGAUUUUGUUAAAUUGAAACCAGAUUAUUUUUUCAUAUAACAAACAAAAAAUUGUACUCAUGCAUUUAAUUACUAGUCUAUUAAGCAGCAGACAUAUAAAGAUAAAAAAGUCUAAAACAAAUUAACAAUCCUCCAACAAACAUAUAGCAGUGCAGUUGUAAAUAGAGAAUCUUUCCAGGUAAAAGGAGUGUCUUCUUACCUGCUGUUUAGUCCUUGCAACGACACACACACCUCUGCAGCAAAAAUGCGAAAAAUAAGACGAGGAUAACAUAGGUCCCAAAAAUCUAAGAUUUGAUGAGAUUGAGGUCCGAGCAGCCAUGUCGAAGUUGAGAGGAAGAAAACCAUGCUUGCGAUUGGGAUUGGAAACAGAGAGGAAAACAAGAGCAGAGAGAUGGGAAAGAAACAGAGACUAAUGAUAAAUAAAUAAUUUUAACCAUAGUGAUUACGGAAAAGAGCAUCUCUAAUAGUAGGAACUUAUUUUGGGAUUUUACUCAUUUUUUGUGGGCCCAGAUUGCCACAUAGGAUUUAAGACACUCAUAAGGUCUCUAUGCACAUUUCACUCUAGUGGUUGAGAUCUUAUUUUACUUUUGACCGGGCCCACAAUACCUAAUAUAUUUAUAUUAUUUAUUUCCCUCCUUAUUUUUCACUUUGGUUAUGGUAUUGGAGGAGAGAGAAAAAAAUAUUAUUUUAUUUAAGAUCCCACAUUUGAGAGUACAUGAGCUAAGGCACGGAUCUUAGCUUUUGCUAAGAUCUCAUGCCAUGUAGGAUAGCUCCAAUGGUGGGAUCUAAUAAGAUCCGGAUCUUAUUUUAAGAUCUCAAAAUAAGGACUUCAUUGGAGAUGCUCUAAGAAAUGGUAGAGUCUGGCCAGGGUACUAUAGUAUCCAUCUUGUAUCCGCAUUUUCAAAAGAUAUCUACACCCAUACCCACUAUUUUUUGCGGUAAUUACUCAUAUUUAAUCUCAUACUCAUCUAGCGGAUUUUUACCCUACUCAUUGUGGAUAUUUUUAGUGGGUACCCAAUGGAUCCGAGACCCAUUGUCAUGAUACCCAAACUUGACCUCACACGUACUUCUGAAAAUGGGAAGGUUUUGUACCCUCAAGUUCAUUAUUUAGACAAUUAAGGACAAAGUUGCAAAUUUUAAAAAAAUUAUUGCAAAUAAGACCAUGACGAAUCAAAGCAAAAUGUAUGAAACUCAUCUAUUUUGAAAGAUACUAAAGAAAUUACCAAAAUUUAUCAAAAUUUAAUUUUUAACAUGUUUGGAUUAGUUUUUUCUCAAUUAAUUGUACAAAAAUUUGUAUGGCUAUUUGUAGAGAAAUUUAUGCUCUUUGAAGUUAGAACCUACAUAUUUACCUUUUUGUGAGGGAUUGGUUGCAGAGGGACUGGACAGUUAACUCAUUUGCCACGAGAGAGGAAUAAUACCGCUGAUUACCUUGCUAGAAAGGCUUCACACGAAGGGACGCCAAACCAAAUAUAGGGAAGACCACCUUCUGCUGUUUACGAGUUACUGUAUUUAGACCAUAGUGUGUAGUCUUUUUCUUGUCGUUUAAUUUUCCUCAUGUAACCAAAAAAAAAUUAUUUGCAAAAAGCAUUGGUUUUUAGGGGGGAAAGAUCUCUUAGCUAAGAUGAACUUAAGCAAUAAUAUAAACAAAAAUUUGUCUUUGACAGUAUAUUUUGUCUAUGUUUAAUCUUUUAUGGAGUGUGAGUAUCCGAUGCAUGUGAUCGUGUGGGGAAUCAAGGCAAUUUCUCAUGGUCAGUAGGACACAUGGUCCCUUUUUCCGAAUGGAUUAGUAUCCUUCUUUUGGUUGUGUGGACCUUUCAGUACUUGAUUUUACUCGCGGUUGCUUUCAAGAAAUCAGAAAGAAAAGAAGCAUUUUUCAUGCAUAUCCUAUCAAUGUAGUGAUGCGAGGGACAAGUUAACUUGCAAUGCCAUGUGAUUAACGUCAAGCAUGUUUAGUAAUAUUCUCAAUCUAAACUAUAUCAACGUCUUUGUAGAUGAAAUUUCUGACAAAAAACAAGACAAUGUUGCUAACAUUUCUCUAUAUAUAAAUUCAAAGUAGUUACAUCCAGGAUGUAAUGACUAGAUUUAUAUACUAAAUAUGUUUGCUUUAUUAUUGGGAAGAUUGGAGGAUGUAGGAUUACAACAGUUGUAUGGAAGGAAUAAUCCUAAAUCACUGGAAUGACAAGAAGUUUCAGUUCAGGCACCUAAAGACUACAACAACUUUCAGAUUUCACCUCACAAGGCUUGUUGCCUUGGCUUGCUAAAAUGAAAAAGGACGAGCAUAACAUAAUUCUAGCUCAUCUCUCUCCCUCACAACUGCUACAAGAAUUGUAGAAAACAAAAAGGACACAAGAAAGUUACAAAUUCAUGAUAGAGACAAUCUCAACCUAUCAUCAUCCCAUGCUCCAGGUCAUUGCAAAGUUUUUCCCUAGAGGGAUGUUCAAGCCUUUCAGCGCUACCAUCACGGUCUUACUUUCUCCAUUUGCCUGACCAUCCAAGUGCUUAUGUUCAGAUGUACUAAUUUUCACAUCAGAGAUACCCAUUAUUGGCAUUCCAUUUAUCUCAAGUGCAGACACUGCUCCACUUCCAGCCAACCCCAACACAGAUAUGGAUUCAAUAACCCAACCUUUACCCAAUGCAAACUUACCCUCUUGAACAUCUGACCAAACUUUCACACCACCUUGUUUGACAGUUGCAUAGAGAUCAAUGUAGGUAGAAUAGCCAUUUCCAAGCUUCAUCUCUGGUAGUUCAUCUUCAUCAAGGAAAAGAUUCCCUUUCGCUUCCCCUUCGGCUGCCCCAGAUGGGAAAGUUACGAUGAGGCUGAAGGGUGUCAUUCUAGCAUCCUUAGAUAUCAAUCCACCCUGUUGCAUUGGAAGAAUGGUAUUCUGAUAUAAAUGCACAUUCACCACGUGCAGAGGAGCAUCAAGAGUAACAUAGAUUCCAUCCUUUGAUGUAAUAGCAUGGGUCCAAUCAAGCAAGCUGUACCAGCUACCAGGAGGGAAGAGUGCUUUCACCUGUGUUUUUCCCUGCUCAAGCACUGGAGAAAUCAUGAGACUGCUUCCCAGCAAGAACUGGGUGCUAAGGCCAUAGCAUUCAGUGUAUGUUGGAAACGAGAAGAAAAGAGGUCUUGCAAUUGGGGCUCCACUAACAUGAGCCUCAUAGCUCAAGGUGUAAAGAUAUGGGAGUAUCUUGUAUCUUAUACCCAAAGCAUUUCUAGCAGACUGAGCUACGGAUUCCCAUUGGUAAAGCUCUUGUCUAGGGGAGUAGUAGUUUGCAUGAUCCCUUGAGAAGGGGUAGAAAGCACCAACUUCAAUCCAUCUAUUGCAUAGUUCUUCAGUAGGUUGUGGAUAGAACCCACAUAUAUCUGAGCCAACCAUUGGGACCCCAAAGAUACCAAAAUUAAUCAUAGUGGAUAUUGAGUACCUCAAAUUCUCCCAUGUUCCCUGAUUGUCACCAGUCCAAUGUGCAGCAUAUUUGCCUGAACCAACAUAAGUUGAGCGCGACAAAAUAAAAGGCCUUUUGCCUUCAAGGCCUAGAAGCCCCUUGUGAGUUGCAACGGAUUGAGAGAAACCAUAAAUGCUGUGAGCAUCAUACUCCAAAACGCCGUUGUAGUGGACUGCACUGGUGGCUAUUGUCUUGUAUCCAAUAGGAGCUUGUAUUCCUGAGGCGUUUAUUUUGUAGGGAGGAUCGUCCCACCGGGUUUUGGUAAUGUUCUUGCAGUCCAGGCAACAUACCCAUCCAGGUCCUGUUCCACUAGGGCACACCUUUCCCUUAGGAAUUUUGCACUUUCCAGAACAGAAAUUUGAAGCUUCAUUCAUAUCAAUCCAUAGGCCAUCAACAGGAACGAGUUCAUGGAAGCGACGGAUUUCAUCACCCCACCAAGAAACUGUCUUUGGAUUGAGAAAAUCAGGGAAGUUAACUGCCCCUGGCCAAACUUGAGCCAAGUAAGGUUCACCUUCAUACUUGAUAAAUACAUCAUUAGCUAAUCCCCUCGUGUAUACACCAUAACUGGAGUUAACACCAAUUCCGGGGUCAAUAAUGACAAUGUAUUUCAUGCCAAUACUGUGUAUCUUGUUGAGGAAGUUCAAAAGCUUUGGACGAGGGUAGUUGUUUGGGUUGAGAGUGAAGUCCUUGUGUCCAUCCAUGUGAUCAUCAUCGUUCCAGAUCACAUCAAGUGGGAUUUGAGCCUUCUUGUAACUCUCCACAACAUCUUCUACCACUGAUAAGUUGUGAUAUCCCCAUCUGCAUUGGUGGAAACCUAUAAUCCCACAUAAGGGAGAAUAUCAGUUAAAACUUGUAGAAAAACUUCAGGUAUUAUUAUCAACUAGAUCUUGAAGCAUAAGGAUCUAAGGCUACAGGUCUUUAUUAAUUGACAAGUGAAGUAGUAACACUAACAUGUAAAUAAAGCAAAUUAAAGUUAUGGAAAAAUAAUAUAUGCCGUUAUAGAAUUAGGCUUCAAAAGCAAAUUCUAGAAUGUACUUACAAGACAAAAUUUCAUGAUUUUCACCCAAUUCAUAAAUUCUAUAAGCUCCCAUCUCCCUAUUACAUAUAGCUAAGUGCUAUAAAAAAGGAACAAAUGGACAAAGUGUGUAUGAAAAAACUGAGUUUUGAUGGCAUUUCUAUUCUAUUUUUGUAUUUUUUUAUCCCCCCUUCAUGUUCUAACAAACACCUGAUUGGUUAAACCUCUUUUGUAACUUACUUGAUACAUAUGCUUGGUACCAAAGAAUGGUACUCUUACAGACACACAUAAGUCACGUGAAGCCAUGUUUAGUUCAUUGGAAAAAUCCAAAUUAAGUAGUAUCCUUCCAUUAACCCAAGCCAAACCUUAUUCCAAACAUGUUAGCAACAUUGAUCGCAUCUUUCCCUACAGAGUUAUCAGUACCUUUGGAUCAGUUUUAUUUUUCAAAAUGUUUUGAAAUCUGAACUGUGAAUUUUUUACCUUAACUUUUACCCUUAAACAUAUUGUAGUAAUUGAUCAGUUAAGUCCCUCUUUGAAGAAAGCUUAUCUUUAAAAGGACAAGAAAAUCUUCCCCCAAGUGAGUGCUCUUAACCACAUGAUCAUAUAUGAUCUCUCUCACCCUAGGAAUACAGAUAAGAGUGAUAGACAACGUGUACGCAAUGAUAACCUUGACAAUGACCCACACAGACUGUUUCAAAGAUUCAUAUCAAAAGUUCCAAUCCUUGACUCAAAAGUUAAGCAGAAAAGAUGAACUUUUUUAUAGGUAAAGCUAAAUUUCCAACUUUUAUGGUGACAUAUCUUUCCACGUGGUCCUAAAAGGUAUUAAAGGACUCAACAACUAAAGUUAGACCAUUAAAUCUUUUGCCAGGAUCCAAAUCAUACAAAGAGUGUCAGAAUGGAAAAUAACUUUGCAAACCAAACUUCAUAAAACAAAAAUCAAAAAUAUCCACAUCAUACAAUAUACAGAUAACCUAAAUCCCACAACAGCUAAUUGAAAAAUCAUGACUGUUGCAUUUUCAGAUCAUUCAUUAUGCAUACCAAGAAAACACCCUCAAUAUCAUGCAUCAAGAAAGUCAUAGAAUUCACACAAUCACAGAUCUGAAAAACACUAUUUGGUUUUAGAAACUGCUUUAUGUUCACAUUGAUAAUUACAAAUUUACCACUUUGCAACAUGAACCAGAAUGAGUGAUACUUUCUUAAUUACUAGUGUAAAUAGAAAAUGAAAACAUAUCCUCCAACUUAACAAAGGCAAUAAUACUUUAUCAAUUAAGUAUUCACAUAUGGUAAGCCCCAGUUUUCACAAUUGAUAAUCCUCCAGUCCAAUCUAUAAUAUUUAACAAAAAAGGGCAAUGACACAUAAAUCAGCAUCAUUGAUAUCAUUCAAACCAAGUAUAAUAGGCAUAUAAAAACAGAAGAGUAAUAAUGAAUCUUACCAAAAGCCCAGUAAGGCAUUGGAGCUGGUCUUCCAAUCAAAGAAGUGUACUGAUCAACAACAUUCAAAGGCGAAGGACCAGAAAAGAAGUAAAAAUCAAAUACACCUCCAAUAACCUUGUAUGUCAAAGAGGUUCCUGUGUAAAAAACAUCCAUUCCAUUGCUAUUGAGCAACAAAACAGCAUGUGCAGAAGCUUUACCACCUGCAUUUCUAAGAUCCAUGUACAUAGGGUGUGAUCCAUACAGAUCAGCAUUGAGAUUAAUAGCUGAUAUAUCAGUGGUAUACAAAGUGUAAGGAUCAUGGGGAUACAACUUAAUCCCAUGAGGCUGUGUGUUCUCUCCCAAACCAUACAAGGAAGCAUCUUUAGGCAAUUUGGUGGAAAUCUCAAGGUACUGGUCCUUGAAAACCAGGGAGCUAAAAGGGUCUGAAUCACCUGAGC